rnacentral:rRNA from 1 species
CAUGAGCAAAAUCUCAACUUUAUUAGAAGAGACGCAUUUAUUAGAUAAAAAGCCAGUUCAUGCUUUUAUAGUAUGAAAAUUGGUGAUUUAUAAUAACUUAGCAAAUCGCAAAGUGAAAACAGGCGAUAAAUCAUUCAAGUUUCUGACCUAUCAGCUUUCGACGGUAUGGUAUUGGCUUACCGUGGCAGUGACGGUUAACGGGGGAUUAGGGUUCGAUUCCGGAGAGGGAGCCUGAGAAACGGCUACCACAUCUAAGGAAGGCAGCAGGCGCGCAAAUUACCCAAUUCUAACAGUUUGAGAGAGGUAGUAACAAGAAAUAACAAUACAAGGCAGUUAAAAUGCUUUGUAAUUGGAAUGAUAGAAAUUUAAACCCUUUUUAAAGUAUCAAUUGGAGGGCAAGUCUGGUGCCAGCAGCCGCGGUAAUUCCAGCUCCAAUAGCGUAUAUUAAAAUUGUUGCAGUUAAAAAGCUCGUAGUUGAAGUUCUGCUGAAAGUAACCGGUCUGCUUUUAAUAAAAGUGGUAUCUUGGUAUGUAUUUAGCAAUGAUGUCCUUUGAAGUGUUUUUUACUUUAUUGUAAUAAAGCAUAUUCAGGACUUUUACUUUGAGAAAAUUAGAGUGUUUCUAGCAGGCUAACGCUUUGAAUACUGCAGCAUG